rnacentral:rRNA from 1 species
AUUGAACGCUGGCGGCAGGCCUAACACAUGCAAGUCGAACGAGUGGCGGACGGGUGAGUAAUGUCUGGGAAACUGCCUGAUGGACGGUGAUAACUACUGGAAACGGUAGCUAAUACCGCAUACCCUCCGCUGUGCCUAGAUGGGUUUAGCUUGUUGGUGGGGUAACGGCUCACCAAGGCGACGAUCCCUAGCUGGUCUGAGAGGAUGACGAGCCACAAUGGAACUGAGACACGGUCCAGACUACUAGGGGAGGCAGCAGUAGGGAAUAUUGCAAAAUGGGCGCAAGCCUGAUGCAGCCAUGGCGCGUGGAUGAAGAAGGCCUACGGGUUGUAAAGGACUUAAAGGGAGGAGGCGUUACGCGAAGAAGAAGCAUCAGCUAAAUCCGUGCCAGCAGCCGCGGUAAUAC